AGGGCACCACCAGGAGUGGAGCCUGCGGCUUAAUUUGACUCAACACGGGAAAACUCACCCGGCCCGGACACUGGAAGGAUUGACAGAUUGAGAGCUCUUUCUUGAUUCAGUGGGUGGUGGUGCAUGGCCGUUCUUAGUUGGUGGAGUGAUUUGUCUGGUUAAUUCCGAUAACGAACGAGACUCUAGCCUACUAAAUAGAUCGUCGGCUUACAAACGCCGGCGAGACUUCUUAGAGGGACAGGCGGUGAUUCAACCGCACGAAACAGAGCAAUAACAGGUCUGUGAUGCCCUUAGAUGUCCGGGCCGCACGCGCGCUACACUGAAGUGAUCAGGCGUGUUUUUUCAACCUACUCUUGUCAGGAGUGGGGGAACCCAAUGAACCUUUCUUCGGUGAUUGGGAAUAGGGGAUUGUAAUUAUUUCCCUUGGACGAGGGAAAUUCCAGGUAAGGGGGGUCAUUAACCCGGGUUGGAUUACGUCCCGCCCUUUGUAAAACGGCGGUGUACCACCAUUGAAUUUUU
rnacentral:rRNA from 1 species